rnacentral:rRNA from 1 species
GCUUAACACAUGCAAGUCGAGCGAGAAUCGUUUAUUGAAGGCUUCGGCUGGAAAUAGAUGAGGAAAGCGGCGAACGGGUGAGUAACGCGUGGGCAACCUGGCCUUAAGAAAAGGAUAGCCCCCGGAAACGGGGAGUAAUACUUUAUGAGAAUGAGAGAGGGCAUCCUACUUUCAUUCAAAGCGCAAGCGCUUAAGGAUGGGCCCGCGUAGCAUUAGCUAGUUGGUGAGAUAACAGCCCACCAAGGCAACGAUGAUUAGCGGAUCUGAGAGGGCGAACGGCCACAUGUGAACGGAGAGACGGACCAAACUCCUACGGGAGGCAGCAGUGGGGAAUAUUGCGCAAUGGAGAAGAGCUCUGACGCAGCAAUACCGCGUGAGCGAAGAAGGUCCUCGGAUCGUAAAGCUCUGUUAUCAGGGAAGAAGAAAAUGACGGUACCUGAUGAGCAAGUCCCGGCUAACUACGUGCCAGCCGCCGCGGUAAGAC